GCGAUCAAUACACAAGCUCCGGACUGAUCAGUGAAUCUGCCACCUUUAGAUAUUAACAGGACAAAUCUCCUCUAUGUGACAACCAAACACCAAAACUGAACCCAGAUAAUAAACAAGUGGAGCUGAUGAGUUUAUCAACAGCUAAGUUCUAUUUAAAGGAUAAAUCCAAAGUUUUAAUCUUUUUAAGUUUAGAAACUUUAAUUCCAAUUGUUUUUCAAAAUAUUAGGAUCAAAUAGACUUAAAGUUUUAUGUUUUAAUCUGAAAGUUUAGAAACUGUAAAUCACAUAUCCAAACAGUAUUUAAAUUCAAAGACCUGUGACGUAUUUGAACACUGGACAAAUGAACGUAGACUCCAGUAGACCUCCAGUAGAAGUGUGUUAAAAAAUACUAGUAAAAGUAAAAGUUCUGAUCCAUCUUGUUUCCUCCAGCACAGUAACAGAGUUCAGGCUCUGACAUGGACUCAGAGUAUCAGAGUAAAAAGUCUCCCUCUGAAGGACAUUUGUGCUCAAAGCUAACUGAAGCUCACGUCAAAUUAAUAGAAUUCAAAGACUAUCAAAGUUAAAGGUAGAAUCAGUAGGAUUUGUCCCAGCUGUUCCUGAACGCACCACAGAGAUGGAUCGUUGAGUCUCAUGACGUCAAACAGACACAUUUUGGUUAAGUUACAGUUACUUUAAAACUUUUAAAAGCUAACUUAACUUUUAAACUUCAAGUACUAUUCAAGCUGGUGACUUUCAGUUGAAUCAAAGUGAUGUAUAACUAGUUUAAGUUCUCCUUCCUCCUCCGCUGCUGUGACAGACAGUGAUUUCUGCUCACAAGAUAUCGGAGCGUCUUUCUGUCCCAUCGCGGUCUCCGUAGCAGCGUGUGGUCGCCUACCUGUACCUCCACGGGGAGACGGAGCGGUUGUUUUCGGCGCCUUGCAUCUCCUCGGCGGCCUGCUUGCAGGUCCUGUUGUCCGGCUGGUGGACAGAAACCUUCUUGUCCAGCAUCUCACCUGAGCGUCUCCUCACCUGAGUGUCUCCUCACCUGAGCAUCUCCUCAUCUGAGCGUCUCCUCACCUGAGUGUCUCCUCACCUGAGCGUCUCCGCCUGCACCUCCUCCCCUCCUCAUGUGCCGGCCUCUCAGCACUUGGAUGUACGCCUGCCUUGCAUCAACCUCAUGAGCCCAGCCCAUCAGUUCCUUUGUUGCUCUCCUGUUUCAUCACCUCAUUCUCCUCACCUGAGCGUCUCCUCACCUGAGCGUCUCCUCACCUGAGUGUCUCCGCCUGCACCUCCUCCCCUUCUCAUGUUAGUUUGAGUUCAGUCUUGGUUGUCUGCUCAGUUUGACAUUUUCUGUGUCACAGUUUCUGUGAGCGUCAAUAAAUAAUUUUGCUUUCCUGAUUAAUUAGCGGACAAUAGCAUUUCAAUUUAGCUUUACACUUAUUUGCAUACAUUUCAGGAGGAUGAAGAUGAAGGUGAUGACACAAUAGGAAUGAAAUGGCUGUAAAAUACCAGGUCAUAUCUUAAACACAUUUGUUUAAACCUGGUAGUAUGUCCUGAAACUGAGGAAGGGGUCGAAUGCUAAUGUUACCUCGAACAGCAGUACAACAGUUGAACUUCCCACAUGACAUAAAAGGAAAAUGGCCAUCAUGUGAAUACAGUCUUGUGGUGUUUCUGCAUCAUGACAUUACAAUGUGUUAUUUAGAAUAAUGGGUACUUUUACUUACUGAUCCUUUAAGUAUAUUCUUGAGAUGAUAAUUGAACCUGGUCUCUGAUGUAAUAAAAUAAGCAAAG